rnacentral:miRNA from 1 species
UAGGGUGGGGGAAGGUACUAC